UGACUGUAUUGACAAUAUGACUCUAAAAUUCAUAUAAUAUGAUCUCAAACAAAAUAAUUAUGUUUUUUGGUAUAAAACCGAAUAAAUCGAAAACCGACGGUAUAUAAACCGAACCGAAUCGAAGUAAAUAUGGAUUUAGAAUGGUAGUUAUAUUUUACUAACCGAAAUACCGAAAACCGAAAAAAACCGAACCGAAACCGAACCGAUAUCCGGAUUGAACACCCCUACAAAUACAGCAUGUAUGUUCAGUUCUUUCACAAUAUAACGGUAAUUCCUAUUUCCUUUUUCGAAGAUUUUUACUUCAGUGUAAUAUUAACAUUAUAAACUUCUAUUUUCUUUGGUCGGCAUUGAUAUUAUAUUACCAAAGGCAGUAGUUAAUAUCGAAUUAAGGAUAAUUUAUAGAGACACGAGAAACACGUAAACAUGACCGGCCAACUACUAAUUUAACUGCUAAACAAAACUCUUUUUCUUCUAAAGACAACAAAUAAUCUCUAAACAUUAUUAACUCGAUUCAACAUAAAACAAAAGUUUAGUGGCUAGUAAGAACAGCUGAUUAGUUUUGAACCAUUGAUUUGAUUUGGCCGGUGGAAAUAUGGGGAAACAUAGUCUUAGUUCCAUUUGGAUAGUUAAGCAAUUAAAAUAUACAUUUAACACCACUUGUUAGGUUGGUCAAGCACAUGAAAUAGUGUAUAAUACAUUGUCUCAAUCGCAACAGUGGGCAGUAGGAACCCAUGUCCAAUAAUUGAUAAGAAAUGAACCAACACCGAUUAUAAGACGAAUAAACAAUUAUUAUAACACGUGAAACCUCUUCAAGCCACAUAUCAAUUGCAUGUGGGAUUUAAGAUUGAAAGCUAACUUAUUCCAAUAUCAAUUACAAACUAGUAAGUGUUCAAAAAAAUAAAAAAUUACAAACUAGUAAGAUCUGAAAUUUAAUUAUUUUGUCUCUGUUAACUCUUGUUCCAAUCACGAUCUCGUUUUCUUCAUUUUUAUUUUGUUAAUAAAAUUUUCGUUCUCAAACUAUUUUUGUUGAGGUGAACUGAGCAAACAAGAAGACAACCCUAAUUUUGCGGUCCAGGCAAUAAACUUGAAGCUAACCUUAGUCGACAAUUCUAUCAAAGGGUAUAAAAUGCAAACACAUCUCAAAGGAUUUUAACACUCUUUUACGUUAAAACACCAAAUUGGAGAAGACAAGAUAUUGUAUGAUUGUUGCAAUGUGGGAAAACUAGAUCCACAUGUAAAAGACCGAUAGGUUUUGGCAGACAUAACGUGCCAUGUCUCCAUCUUUGAUUUGUUGCUAAACAAUAAUUCUAGAAAAAAUAUGAAAAACAUAGUCCAAGAAAACUUUGAGAACCUUUAAAAUUUCCUUUAUAUUUUUUUCAAAAGAGUACUAAUAAUUAUCCUUCAAUAAUUUAGAAGGAUAUGCAAUCAGUCAAUCACUCCAUUUCACUGAAAUUCUUCGACUUUGAAUGAAUCGCAUUGAAGACGAGCUAUUCCAUUGUUUUUAUUCAUAAUGAUACGAACCCACAACAAUUUACAAUCACACACGUCGUCGAAAUAGAAGCACAAUCAUAUUAUACUACAUAAUGAAAUUUUACGUUUGUGAUUAUGUGUAAAUUACUAAAUUUUAGAAUUUGACAAUUAAAGAGGUUGAUAGAGAAGUGACUAGAGAUCAGAUAAUGUAUAUGACUGACACGGACAAGUUUAUGUUCAUCCUCUUGUUUGUCUUCAUUCAACUAAUUAUUUGGUUCACACAUAAGUUUAUGGAUAUAGGUGUCACUAAAAAAAAGUCUACAUUGAUAGCACAUUAUUAUAGCACGUUUUACUGAACUGCUAUCGUAGAUGAUUUAGAAAUUUCCGUAUUAUAUAAUAGCAUUAGAUAAACGCUAUGAUAGAGAAAAACCUAAAAUAACACUUAAUUAAUGCUAUUUUAAGAAUUACGUGAGCGGGAAGAAUAAAAUCAUCAUUUCACCAAUACUUAGCGGAAAUUUAGAUUUAAGCGCCAAAAAUAUUAUUUAAGCGGCUUAAUAAAACUACGAAAGACUUAUAAUAGCAUUUUUAUAAUGCUAAGAAAAGCUAUUUGAACCCCUAAACCUUAAACAUGGUUUUAAACCCUAAACACAACCCUUAAAACUAUAAUCUUUUUAUAUUAUAACUUCAAAUCUUAAAAUUAAACUUAAAAUUUAAUCUUCUUGAUCUAACUAUAAUUUCCUAACCACAUAUCCUUAAUCUUUAAUCAAUCUCUAUAUCCUAAAUCAUAACUUCAAACAUAAAUUAUACAUUCUGUGUAAACAUACAUACAAUACUCUAAAUAUAAACUUCAAACAUAAACUUUACUAUACAUACAAUACUCUAAAUAUAAACUUCAAAACUAAAAUUUGAAAAAUUUAACUACAAAUCUUAGACCUAAUAUUCAAAUCUAAUAUUUUCAUACUCUGAUCCAAAAUCUUAAAUCAUAGUCUUGAUAUUAAUCAAAUAUUUUCAAACUUAAACAUCAAUUCUUAAAAUAAAUAUAAACUUAUUAUGUUCAAAAAAGAAAACUCUAAACUUAAAUUAUAAACUCGAAAAUACAAAAUUUUAUAUAAGAUAUAACUAAGAAAAUUUACUUAGAAAAUAAAUUAUCAAAUAUUUAAGAACAAAACAAAAAUAAAAAUAGAAAAAGAAAGACAAAAUUUCUGGCCAAUCAGAUUCAAAUACAUAGAUCACACUCUUAACCAUUGGAUUAACUUAGAUCUAAAGGUAGAGAUUUAUUCAAUUUUAUUUUUAUUUUUUCUUCUCUCUCUCUCCCUCCCUCUCUCACGACAGAUCUCAUAUCAUCUCCUUCUCUGCUUUUUUUUUUCCCGAUUCUCUCUUCUUCACUCUAACCUCUCAUUCUCAUAUCUCAUAUAUCUCUUCUCUCUCAUCUCUCUCAACGCCUCUCUCCCAUCUCUCUCAUCUAACCACCACCGUGUCUCCUCCUCGUCUCACCACCACCGCGUCUCCUUCUCGUCUCACCACCACCGCGUCUCCUUCUCGUCUCACCACCACCGCGUCUCCUCCUCGUCUCACCACCACUGUUUUCCCCCUUGUCUCACCACCACCACGAUCGACGUUCAUGGCGGCUGGAGGAAGCAAGGUUCGUGGUGGCUGGAGGAAGCAAGGUUCAUGGCGGCUUGAGUAUAUAAGUCUCAUGGCGGCUGGAGGAAUCAAAGUUCAGGGCUGCUGGAAGAGGGACAAGGAUAUGGAGGAGGCGGCAGGAGUUUUUUCUUUAGGUUUAGGUUUUUUAGGUCUGGUUAAGUGUCCUAAAUUGAAGUGGUCUGAUUUUAUUUUUUAGUUUCUGGUUUAGUUUUGUAAACCAGAAUUAAUCUGUAAACCAAAUUUAAUUUAUUAAUAAAAUUUAUUUUAUUUUCA